UAACCUGCUAAAUAGUUAGGUCAACGAUUGUUGAUCGUCAACUUCUUAGAGGGACUAUUGACUAUUAGUCAAUGGAAGUUUGAGGCAAUAACAGGUCUGUGAUGCCCUUAGAUGUUCUGGGCCGCACGCGCGCUACACUGAUCAAGUCAACGAGUUUACAACCUUGGCCGGAAGGUCUGGGUAAUCUUUUGAAACUUGAUCGUGCUGGGGAUAGUCCAUUGCAAUUAUUGGACUUCAACGAGGAAUUCCUAGUAAGCGUGAGUCAUCAGCUCGCGUUGAUUACGUCCCUGCCCUUUGUACACACCGCCCGUCGCU
rnacentral:rRNA from 1 species